UGUUUAACGUUUCCUAUAAUAAGCGUCAAAAUCUGGCCAGUGUAGAGGUACUAUCUCAUGAAAUAAGAAGAUUUCAUAAUAAUGUGGUUUUUACUCUUUAGAAAAUCGUCUGGACCUUAAAAAAGUGCAGCCCAUCUGACAAAAUUAAGCCAGCAGGGGCAUUUAGCCAGCCUUUGAUGAUGAUGUACAAUUAAUUUGAUGGGAGGAUGAGAACUUGACCAAAGUGCAGGUUUUGAUUUGCCACCGUGGUAGUGUUGAGAGCUCACCUUCCGUUAAGCUGCCCAGAGCUUUCCCAGACCUGGAGCAAAAGACUCCUGCCUGUGAGCUGAAGUGUCAUUAGGAGCUUUGAUUAUCACCAUACAGUCACAACGCAGACAAUGUAGACAAUGACAGUCUAAACUGGGAUAUCUUUCUGAGGCCAGUGGAUGUGUUAAUAGACUUCCAGCUAAAUGUAACACAUAUAGACAUUUUAUAUAACAGAUACAACUAUACCAUGGACCUUAAUGGAAUAAAUCUAAGCGCUAUGCAUCUGCCACUAGACAUAAGGAGGCUCUGCGGUGGCCGGUAUUAGCGAGGCGGGUGAUUAAGGUGGACCCUGCGGUGCUAGCAGAGCUAAGCUUUGGGUAUCCUGAGGGUGUGAGAGGAUCUCCUCAUGUGCUGAGGUCAGUGUUGGUUCAACCUGACUGAACGCCAGCUCACUGAACAAACUAUGACCUGUGCAGUCAUGUAACCCCUCAGUUGUGGAGGUAUUGAUAGUCAUGGCUCGGACCAGAUGGGAUUUUUUUUUUUUUUUUUUUUUUUGUAUUUUAAUUGCACUGAUUUUGGUGGAAAUUCUGCAGAACUAGAUAGGGUGCCAUCGCCUUCCCAAAAUUCAGCAAGCCAGAUGGAUCCAAUAUUAUCCCCUACCCCCCAACACUUGUCAGAAGAGUGCUUACAGUCUUCACAGACCAGUAAUCUUGUGAAAGCGAGGCAGGUUACUGCUGGCAUCAAGUGUCACUUUGGGUAAAGUUGCUGUUGAUUUUCACCCAUAUUUUUUUUUUUAUUAUUAUUUUUUCAUUCCCCCGUCUGAGAAGGGGCGUGUUACUGUCAUUGCCAGCUGUGGUUGCUCAAAACUCCCGGUUGGGUGUGAGAGACAUCUCAUCUAAUGGCUGAGGAUGUUUCUCUCUGAAGCCUGUUAUCGUAGUCACAAAAGAGCUUAAUAACGGAGAUUUCAUUUAUGACUCUUGUUUCCUUUCAGACGAUACACUGGCAUCCCAGAGGAAAUACUUCCUGAUUACUGCAGUCAUGAAUUACAUGUAUUGAAUUAUAAAAAUGCCCAUAUUUUUCUCUCUGGAUGGGACUUUUUAGAUUAUUACUAUAAUGACUUUGAAACUGUCUGUAGUCAGAGAUAUAUUUUCUCACGCUGAAGUUGCGGCCCCAAUUUUUCACUUUUCUCUCUUUAGCUCUGUGAAGAAAGCUGUGACCAGGCAUUUGCAAUGUAUAAUGGCAUUCGGGACACAUGAAAUACAAUCCCCAGUCACACAAAGAAUGAAAUGAGGGGCAAGGAGUCCACGGUUUCUUAAUUAGUUUGCAGUAUAUGCGUAAUUAUGGCUGAAUUUUAAAACACACUUAAGGCGUUCCUUUCUCUAUUUCGAUCUAGUUCAAGAAUGUCCUGCAGUUACACUGUAGAAUCAAUCCAGUGUUAAUCGACUGCCAUAAUGUAAUUACUCCUUGUAUCCACACACAAUGAAUAGCCGUUUACAAAGCUCAGAGGCACAGACAGAGAUUAUAGUGCAUACUGUAUGUAAAGGCUGACGCAUCUUGUUUGAAAAUGAAUACAUGUAACAUUACUGUAAGAAAUUAUCAGAUUGUGCAUUGUGUUGUAUCUAGUGAGCCUGUAGAGGCUUUAACUAAAAUCCUAUAAAACAAAGAAUGGAGUUCCUCCC
ensembl:lncRNA